rnacentral:rRNA from 1 species
UACGAAGGUGGCAAGCGUUACUCGGAAUUACUAGGCGUAAAGGGCAGGUAGGUGGUUUGGUUAGUCUAUUGUGAAAGCUCCCGGCUUAACUGGGAGAGGUCAAUGGAUACUGCCAGACUUGAGUAUAGGAGAGGUUACUGGAAUUCCCGGUGUAGCGGUGAAAUGCGCAGAGAUCGGAGGAACACCAAUGGCGAAAGCAGGUAACUGGACUAUUACUGACACUCAGCUGCGAAAGCUAGGGAGCAAACAGGG